rnacentral:rRNA from 1 species
UUGACCUCGGAUCAGGUAGGAAUACCCGCUGAACUUAAGCAUAUCAAUAAGCGGAGGAAAAGAAACCAACAGGGAAUUGCCUCAGUAACGGCGAGUGAAGCGGCAAAAGCUCAAAUUUGAAAUCUGGCUCCUUUGGGGCCCGAGUUGUAAUUUGCAGAGGAUGCUUCGGGCGUGGCCGCGGUCUAAGUCCCCUGGAACGGGGCGUCGCAGAGGGUGAGAAUCCCGUCUUCGGCCGGCCGGCUUCGCCCAUGUGAAGCUCCUUCGACGAGUCGAGUUGUUUGGGAAUGCAGCUCUAAAUGGGUGGUAAAUUUCAUCUAAAGCUAAAUAUUGGUCGGAGACCGAUAGCGCACAAGUAGAGUGAUCGAAAGAUGAAAAGCACUUUGAAAAGAGAGUUAAACAGCAUGUGAAAUUGUUGAAAGGGAAGCGCUUGCGACCAGAGUCGGCCGUGGGGGUUCAGCGGGCAUUCGUUGCCCGUGCACUCCCCCACGGGCGGGCCAGCGUCGGUUUCGACGGCCGGUCAAAGGCCCCCGGAAUGUGUCGCCUCUCGGGGCGUCUUAUAGCCGGGGGUGCAAUGCGGCCAGUCGGGACCGAGGAACGCGCUUCGGCACGGACGCUGGCUUAAUGGUCGUAAGCGACC